ACCGCCCCCUCCUCUCUGGGCCGUCCCGGGGCGGUGCUGCAGGUGCCGGGUUGGGCGGAGCGCUCCCCUCCCGCAGCGCUCCCGGCGGCGCGGUUCCCUCUGCGCACAGCGGCGGCGGGGCGAUGGGCUCCGCGCAGUCCGUUCCCCCCGAGAUGCGGGCGCUGGCGGAGCGCACCGGCUUCACCUCGGAGCAGAUCGAGCAGCUCCACCGGCGCUUCAAGCAGCUGAGCCACAACAGGAAGACCAUCCGCAAAGAGGACUUCGACACCAUCCCCGACCUCGAGUUCAACCCCAUCAGGGCCCGAAUCGUGCACGCCUUCUUUGACAAGCGCUCUGCUGCCAUCAGGAACCUGCGGAAGGCGCCGGCUGGGCUGGCAGAGGAGAUCAACUUCGAGGACUUCCUGACCAUCAUGUCCUACUUCAGACCCAUCGAGAUGGACAUGGAUGAGGAGCGGCUGGAGAGCUUCCGCAAGGAGAAGCUCAAAUUCCUCUUCCAUAUGUACGACGCCGACUACGACGGGAUCAUCACACUGCAGGAGUACAAAAACGUGUUGGAUGAGCUGAUGUCUGGGAACCCCCACCUGGAGAAGGAGUCGCUGCGUGCCAUCGCGGAGGGGGCCAUGCUGGAGGCAGCCAGCGCGUGCAUGGCCCGCACGGGCCCGGAUGAGGUGUAUGAAGGCAUCACCUUUGAGGAUUUCCUGAAGGUGUGGAAGGGGAUCGACAUCGAGACCAAAAUGCACGUCCGCUUCCUCACCAUGGAGGCCAUCGCUCACUGCUACUGACCAGGAGCAGGACGGAGCCUUCCCAGCACCACAGUGCCGGCACAGGGCCACGUUCCACUCUCUAGAACCUAAGAGGACAUUUUCUUGGAGCAUCAGCACCACCUGCUCAGAGCUAUAGGCAGCAGGCUGCACUGCAUGCCAGCCAGCCCUACAGAGG